UGGGAUUUAAUACCUCUAUAAAUCCACAAAUGUUCUUGCAAAGAUUAAGCGAAAAAAUGCAGCAAGCUCAGUGUUGAGGACAGCGGAAACCAAAUAACAGGAAAAAAAGAAGAAGAAGGAAAAACCAAUGUCCAAUUUCCAUUUGUGCAGAGCAAUUCCAAACAUCCGACAUGCUUUAACUUCAGAAAUCAGACUGGCGAGUUUGACACCGAAUGACUAAACUCAAAAUGACAAUUAACCGAAAGAGGGCAUAAACAAAGCACAAUUUAGUAUCCCAAGACCCGCACACCGACCUCAUCAGUUGCAAAAGAACAACUGAAAAAGGGUCAUCAUCCACCGCACGCAACAAGAACAAAUCACGGGUAUCGGGCAAGAACAUGCCAAAUUAACAUAAAGACUCCACAGCAUCACGACCAUGUCCGACCAUCGACGAGAAACAGAGAGCACAACGAGAGAGGCAGAACCGGGAAUUCGAGCCCUCACAUCGCAGCAAACGAGGCCACCCAUUCAAGAAACGUGGUCCCGAACCCCAGGCUGCCCAGCUUGAUCGCGUGGCCCGCCAGCUUCCUCGCGGCGGCGCCGAGCUCCUUCAGAUCGGACCCGAUCUGGUCGCUGGCUUCCCGGUCCGUCCGCAUUCUCAAGUACCCGCGCUUGCCCAUGUCCCUCCCGAAGCUCGCGCUUUUCGCCGCUAUCGUCGAAAUCUAGCGGCGACCCACGAUUCCAAGAUGGAAGAACAGGUCGGAGAAGCGAAGGAGAUGGAUAUUUUUUCUUGGGGUUGUCGGCAUCGAUAUCCGGUUCUUGAUUUGCAGAGCCGGGGCCGGGGAGUGAGAGACAGCGAAGCGGUGGGGAAGAGUACUGGGGAAGAUUAUCGAAUGCGGGGUGCCACGUGGACCCACUUGGUUCAAUCUAAAAUGGAAUAUUUUCUCGAUUGUUUGGAUCCUGUCCUUUUUCUUUCUUUAUUUUUUUGGUCGAAAGGGUUUUGUCCUUCUCUUCUCGAGAACUUCUUUCUCUUUAUCGAAAAAAAAGAUACCAUCCUUUACUCAAUAGAUACCGUGGAUAAUUUUGUAUAUAUAAAUGUAAAGAAUAAAUAUACUUGAAAUUUUAAAAUUUAUCAUGAAAAUAUAAUUAAAUUUUAUAAAAAAAUAUAAUUAAGUUUUAAAAUUAAUUAAAUUUGUGCAACCAAGUCUAUCUAAUUUUUUUUGUCGUAAGGUUCAUUUAAUUGAUGAGGUUAAAAUAUGAAGUAUAAAGCUAAAAUAAUGUUGUUAUGAUCUAGAUAUUUUAUUAAAUUAUAUUAAAAAUAAAUUAAAUUUUUAAAAAAGAAAGAAAAAGGAAGUAAGGCACAUGGUGGGGCGGCAACGUAGAGAGCUGGUUUUCCCCUUUUCUUUUUUGAGUUGAUAUUUUUCUAAUGUAUUUAAAAAAAUUAUAUUAAAAUCAAAUUUGGACAAAAGUCAUGUUGUUUUAGUCGCAUCAAUGUCAUGUAAGAGAAAACAAAUUUUAAAAAAUUAUAUUAACAUUUUCCAUUAAUCAAGUCAAACAAAAUUAAAAGAAUGAUUUAAUUACAUCAAUUUAGCCAGUUUUAGAACUUAUAUAUAUUUUUUAACUUUUAAGAUUUAAUUGCACAAAAUUUUGACAAUUUAUAAAUGGCUACAAUCUAAAAUUGAAGUCAUAAAAGAAUUUUUUUUUUCCUUCUACAAGUUGGAACGGAAAUAAAGAGGUUUUCUUUUUGGGCAAAAAAUAAAGAGGUUCAAAUGAGCAAACCAAAGUCUACUUGAUAAAUUGGGAUGGAAUAUUGUACUCAAUAAAUCUGCAACAUGAAAUUAAAGCAAAUAGAAGUGUAUUGUAAUCGAAAAGUCUUCAAAUUUUUCUUGAAUCAUAGGCAUUUUAACUUCAUGCCAAGGAAUUUCAUGCGGAUGGACAGUUUAGGCCCGUGUCAAGGAGACUUCCGUUUGACUUUGAAUUUAAAACAGCUUCAUUUCGUAUCAAGAAAUUUCCUGAUAAGGACUGUGAUUGAGCAUGGUCUAAAUUGGACUAGUACUUAACUGAAGAACCAAUCAACACAGUGUUUUGGGACCAAGGACCAGACUGGUCCAUUUCCAAGAUUAACUCGAGACCAAUCGAUUAUUUUUUUGUUCAAAUUUUUGUGUUAAUUAAAAAGACAAAUAUAAUCUUUCAAAUUAUAUAUCCAUCAACAAUGUAACAUUGAAUAUGGGUACAUAUCAAAUAUAAAUAUAAGAUAAGAUAACAAUAGAAAUCUCUUGUUGCUAAAAGCAACAAACCAUAAAAAAAAUGAACACGUGAAAUACAAUUAAAUUAUAAAAGGAAAUCGAGGCCAGCAAAGAGAGGUGAGCGGCAAGCAUGGCCGCAGCAUAGGAAUAGAGAGAGGUGAGCAAAUAGGGUUUUAUUUAUUUUUUAUCGAAUCAAGGUUACGUUUCUACUUUCUAAUUACACAACAAAACUGCAUAAGAAAGAACAAAGGGAAAGGUGCUUAUAAUAUAUAUUACAUAAUUAUAAUAUAUACAUAUAUAAAAGGUUGGUCUGGGUUAGACCAACCCUAAAGUCUCAAAACUGAGGGCCAACCCGCAUAAUGUAAGAUCAAGGGUUUUUAGGAUAAAAAAUCAGCCUAGUGUCUUUGGGAACUGAAUUAGGACUAACCGGGUUGGGCUGGUCCAAGAUUAGUCCACGGUUAAUCCUGGACUGAUGCUUAUUCUUGAUGAGGACAGCUCUAGCUUAUGUCGAGGAGAUUUUCAUUUGACUUUGACUUUUAGAGACGUUUAAUUUGGUGCCAAGGAAUUUUGCGGUGGGGACAGCUUAGAUUCGUACCAAAGAGUAUUAAUUUAAGGACACUUUUGCUUUUACAUGAAUUAGUUAGUUUAGGCCUUAUAUAGGAGGGCUUUAUAUUUUAAUGAAGUAGGUAAUUUAGUCUUAUCAGAUCUAAGAGCAUUUCAACUUACAAUAAAAUAUAUAUAGUUUGUCAUAUCAAGAAGUACCGAUUUUGACAAUCAUAAUAACCAAUACCACAUCGCUUCUUAUUUUAUAAUCAUGCAUAAUAUAAACAAAGACUUUUCUAGGUAAGUUUGUUAGGCACUUUAGAAUACUCUUUUCUAAAUCUGUCGGAUCAUGGUCAAUCAAUAGGUCUGUGGAUAUAUUAUUUCAUAUGAUAAACCGCCAUCUCAUGGUACCAUCGCGGCACCUCUGAUAAUUGUAUAGCUGACAGUAGGAGAAGCUUUAGGGCUGCUACUCCUAAAAGGGACUAUGCCUAAGUAGCUGAAGCGGCCAAGUUGCAUAGUUCUAUUCGACAAAAAAAAGUUGCAUAACUUGCUUUUGUUCAGUAAGUGUCAAGUUUAUGUUGAUGAGGAAGGAGCCUUUGCGUAGUCUUGAGAGUAGUCCUUUUUGAGCUCGCUCUUGGUCUCCAGCUUCCCACGGGUGACUUCUUUGUCUAUGGAUGGCCGAAUUUCCUAAAAAGAUCCCAAAUUCUAGUUCACUUUGAAUAAUAAUCUGAACUUUUUGUUGUCUCGGAAAGUCGAGAACUUUCAUUUUAUACCCUAAUCUAACCUCAUUAACUUUCCAUCUAACGUUACAAUUAAAGGUUGACGUGGCAAUUCCACAUGUGCUAGGAGCAGCAACAGAAGCUUGAUAAUACUUUCAAGAAAAAGAGAAAGUUCGAGCCCAUUAACAUAUUCAGUUAGACCUAUCUCAAUUAAAAAGUUUAAGUUAAUGAGUUAUAGAUCAAAUAAGAUAUAUUAACUACUUUAGCGCAAGAGAGAUUGCCAAGAAGUUCGAGCUUGUCAAUAGAUUCAUUAGAUCCAUCUUCACUCAAAAUUUAAUUAAAAAAUUUGUGAUUUAACUUAGAUAUAUUAGCAACUUCACAUCUGAAUAUCAAACUUUUUCUAAUACAACUCACACGUGCAUUUCAACAUGUACAAUUCAUUUAACUCUUAUUUUAUUUUUAUUUAUCCUUGUUCAAGACUGAUUGGAUCUCCUCCUUCCUAGUAGGCUUCGGCUGGAAGCUUGACCAUACCAUCAUGAACGUCCCCAAGCUUAGCCCAAUGAUCUUGUAUGUGAAUCGGUUCGCCGGCCUCCAUGAAUUGGUCUAGUUCACCAUGGACGACGGCCGGACCAAUGAGAGAAGGCUGAACUCAAUCGUGUUGUGAACAGUGACAAGAUGGUUCUCCGGCAAUGAAAGAGCUGGCAUUGUGAACAAAGAGGGAAAGCCAAAUCCCCAGCCCAAACAUGAUUUGUCACUAUAUCUCUCCUUAAAGUCACGUUGCUCGCGACAAUUGCCUGUGGCGUCAUUGGCCAUGGGCGACCUCAGACUGGGCGUAGUGUCGUCGGAUCCGACGUCUGAAGCUUGGAUCUAGCUCCUGACCCAAAGAGAGAGAGGAUCCGGUACAAGCUUGUGGAGGAUGAGGGCUAUGUUUGGUUAAGCAUUUCCAAUGGGCUUUAGGUACUUGACCAUUUGGUUCAACUUUAAAGCUGGCUUUCAGCUUUUAACUUACCUUCAAAAUGCUGAAAGCCCAAAGCUAGUAGGGGCUAGCUUUGGGCUUUCAGCAUUCCGCCGAAUGCUGAAAUUAUUUACUAAACAUAAUUGCAUUUAGCUUUGGGCUUCGGAAUGCUGAAAUAUUUACUAAACAUAAUUGCAUUUCCCCAAGUAGCUUUGGGCUUUCAGCAUUUGCAUUGGACUCAAAGUUCCUUGCAAAUGCUGAAUCAAACGCAGCCGAUGUAUCACUUAUUAGGGCGAUUUGGCCGCUCUUGGAUAGGCGGAGGUAUUUCAUCCAGCGAAGGCAGCAGCUAUUAUCGCAACAAGGCAUGUUCAUUGAGAUGGUGAAGGGACAGAACAUGCCAAAUAGAAAGAGUUAGACACGUGAAAUGACUCAUGGAUAAUUAACCACUUGAUCAGAUGGAAAGUUACUGGGGGAUAGAAUUUGACUUGGAGUGAAACUUAGUUACUUUUUCGCCAAUAAAAAAAAUUUGAGGUAAAAAUGCCACUGGAUCAAAAUCGGUGUUUUUUUUAAGGAAAUUGGGCUGUCUAUUGAUCGACUUCCCUGCAUUGGUGUCAAUUAGCAUAUAUGCUUAGCUACGUUUUAUCUUCUCGAUUGCUAGAUUGUGAAUAAAGAAGGGCGGUCUCCAUUAUUUUCAGGGUAAAAUUGUCAAAAAAGUCCUAAAUCUAUUAUAUUUUUAUCAAUUCAAUAUUAAAUAUAUUAAUUAUGCUAAUUGAAUCUUAAACCUUUUCAAGUUUGUCAAUUGCGUUCAUUUGACUAAUUUUGACCAAAAAUUCCUAACGUGAACUCUAGUCAUCAUGCGUAGCAUGACGUGGAAAAAUUUAAACAAUAUUUUCUUCUUCUUUUUUCAAAUUUUUGUAUUUUUAUUUUAUUUUAUUUUUCCUUUUUUUCUUCUCUUUUCUCUCUUUACUUUUGCUUUUUUUCUUCUUUUUUUUCCCUCCUCUCUUCUCUUCUUUUUUGCUUUUCUUUUUCUUUUUUUCUUUUUCCCUUUUUCCCUCUGCCAGCCAUUGUUGGGCCUCAUUGAUGAUCGAAGGUCACUAGCCUCAAGUGAAGACUACCCUUGCAAGAGGGAGGCCCACUCUACUGGAUCGGGUGAGGAUUGCCCUCAUCUCAGUGGGGCAAGGCAACUCUUGCCCUUGUUGACACCUGAUUUUUAGUUGACGCGUUAAGAAUGACAAAAAAUCAAGAUUUUGGUUUCUAAUUACAACAAAGCCCCUUUUUUGACAAAAAAAAAUGUCAUUUUUCAUUUAUUUCUUUUAUAUUGUUGUUUUAAAGUAAUUUCCAAGUCAAUCGACUGAUUUUCUAGUUGGCUUUUGGUCAAUCCUUAAACAAUAGUCAAGCCCAGAUCAAAAAUUCACUUUUUACCUAAAAAGAUGCCAUUAAGCUUUAAUUUCACUUUUUUUCAAAUUAAUUUCUCAAAAAAAAAAAAAAAAACCUUAGAGAUUUGACAAAGAAAUUAGCCUUUUAGGAAAAGUCAACUAAAAAUAUUGACCUUUGGUCAAAUCUUUGAUAAAAAAAAUUGGAAAAAUUGAAAAUCCCAAAAAUAUUUCUUUCAAUGUCAUUUUGACUUUUGCGUAAAAAAUUUCACAAAAAUUGAUUAAGAACCUUGUUUUUCGAAUUUUUCAUUUUUAGGUUCUAAAUCGGCCAAAAAUCAAAUUACUUUCAUUAUAGUCAUAAUUAGGUGUAAUUCCUUCUUUGAUAUUUGGUUUAGAGGCUAUUUUAAAUCCACUCAUGUAUUCAAAAUACAAAUUACCGUUUUGAGCCCUAAUUAGAGGACCAAAAUUAAUCUUCAUGACUUGUGAAUGGACAAUUAUUUUCCAUUCAUUUUCUUGAGAUAAGUCCAAAUCCAAAAUCAAUUUUGAGAAAGUCACAUUAGAACUUCUUGAUUUGAGGAAUUUUAGUCUCUCAAGCAUAAGAAAGUCAAGUAAUUAAACUUCAAUUGACAAAAUUUGAAUUGACCUAUUCAAUGUUAUAAUUUAAUUUCAUAAAUCUGAGUCCAAUUUUAAUAGUAGACCUAGAUUUAUUUUUGACCUAAGCUCAGGCACAUCACUUCAAGGCCAAUUAAAAUGCAUUAAGUGACCUUACAUAUGGAUGAUUAAUUAAAUGGGGGUAAUUGUGGUAUUAAUUAAACUAAGUUUCAAUCAAUUUACAAUUUUACUCAUUGAAUUGCAAAUUCGAUCAUUUUAGUCCUUUAAGCUCAAUUCAAAGCACUCAUCAUUGUGAUCCGUUGCUUUUCAUAGCAGUCAUUCAAUUAAGUCAAUAAAAGAUCCCUAGAUCACAUUUGUGAAGUUUAAUUGGCUUAAUUGAAUCAUAAUUGGGUAAAUUUCUUUCAAAUCAUGUAAGUUUUCUUUUCAAUUUGAUCUUUGAGGAACCAAAUUGCAUAAAUCUUGAAACCACAAAGGCCCCAAGCGAAUGAAUUAACCAGAACUGGACAAAAAGAAUUGGCCAAACCGAAGCCAAUCGGUCUGACUUGCCAUCGACGGGGCUAGCUGGUUCAGCUGUUUGCCAACAAUUUUGAAACUUUAGUGAUUGAUUCUAGAAUCCUCUUUGUGUCAAUUUUGUUUCUACACUCUCAAUUUCCCAAGAUUUUGAAAAAUAAUACUUGGAUUUCGCAAAUUUACAUUUUGACCCUUAACUAGACAUUUUGACGCAAUUCUCGAUUUCAACUCGGGUUUUUGUGAAUCAAACCCAUUAAAUCGAUUACCCGACACCUCAAGAUCAUAAUUGAACCUUCGGAAUUAACUUUUGACCAUUGGAUUAAUAUUUCAACUAUCGGAUCGAACCAAUAGCUCAUAUCACUUGAUUUGAGGAGGGUAUAUAUACCAAUUUUCCCUUCAAUUUUUGAGGGGCUCACUCUGCACACUUCCUUUUCUCUCCUUAGAUCUCUCUCUCUCUCUCUCUCGGUCCAAUCGGUUCUCCCUCUAGCGAACCAAUCACUGUCGGUCCAGCCCUUUACCGACGGUACUCCACCUACACCAGCGACCCUCUCUAUCCUCUGGUUCCUGUCGGACCCACACCAGCUAUCGCUGACCACCAAAUGUCCCCGCUUGAGUCGUUUUUCUGAUUAGUCUCCUAAAUCAAUAGGGCUAGCAACGUCGGUAUAACUAGCUUUGAUUAGAAUCGCCCAGCAUCCUUUUGGCGUUCGAUUUGAUCUAUUUUCAUCCUUCAACAAUCUCCGACCUCGCUGCGGUCGGGGACUGGUCGAUCAAGCUGUCAGAAGAUCUCCGGACUCCUCUUCUUCAACCGGCGAGAAGACCGGUCCAAUUUUUGGAUCGAAUUUGUUCCCGACCAAAAGCGGCAGCUGUCGUUGAUUUCUAGAGUUGCUGAUCAGUUCUGAUUAGCCUUAAGGAGGUGUUCUGACUUCACCGAGCUCGGAAAAAGACCAAUCAGCCGCCGGAUCUCUUCUAACAACCCAAUCUAGCCUUGGCGGUCCCAAACCCGUCUGAAUCUAGACAAGCCAAUCUAGCCUUGGCGGUCUCAAACCCGUUUGAAUCUAGACAAGCCAAUCUAGCCUUGGCGGUCCCAAACCUGUUUGAAUAUAGACAAGUUCCUGUGGUUGCUAUAAAUCGACUCUUAGCCGAUGCUUGUGGAGUCUCGAAGCAUUCCGAUCAUGUUCUCGAGCCUCCAAUUGAACUUUGGUGAAGAUUCAUUAGUUCAAUCAAAUCAACAAAAUCACAUCAGAGGUAAUCUCCUCAAUCUCGAACCCUGUGCAACGAGACCGGAUUAACCGAUUGAGGCUAAGGUUCAAUUUUAGGACUGAAUGUCAUGCUUAGAUACUUAAUUGAUGGAUGUUGAUUUGCUACGAUUGAUUGUUCAUUGAUGAUAAAUAUGGAUUGAACUUGAUUUGGCUUCAAAUCUGUGAUUCUCGUACUACAGAACAUGGCUUGCUGUUUUGAUUGAAUGGAAGUCCAAAAUAACCUUAUUUUAGUUCGAUUCCUCCUAGAUUUUGAAAAUUCACGUCAUGAUUUUCGAAUUGAUAGGUCGUAUAUCCCAAUUGAGCGACGUUUGAGUCUCAAAAAACACCUCCGAAGUUAUUCGACCCUCCAGUGUGCGAAUGUUGCUAGUCUACAAUACCUACAAGAUCAGGAACUUUCAAAGAGAAAAGUUUUCAUCCUCCCAUUAGUGAGCAAGUAUCAUUGUUUGCAGACCAAGUUCUCACAGCAAAAGCAAAACCAAGAUCCGAAAAAUAGUUUUAAUUUGCUCAAUCGUUCUCACUCUUAUAUAAGGAUAGUAAUAAGCAACAAUGACAGGUCUGCAUGAAUUCAUAUCUUCUCAAACGAUGAAAGAAGUAAACAUGGAUUCACAACAUUGCCAAGGCAAUGCCAGCCUGCUGAAACUGGCUAUAGAAAAUCUACCACCAACCCCCACACAGGGAAAACCAGCAGGAUGAGUAUUCCGAUGGUGUUCGAAAUACCAUGCGGCUGUGUAAAUGAGUUUCUAAAGCCACCGGAUGCUCGGAUGUGCUCUUGUAGAAGAUAACACGCAAUAACAAGACAUAUCGCCACUCCAACCCAGCUGUCUCUAAUGGUGCUAGCGAACAAGCUUGGAGCCACCACCAUCAAUAGGAUCAGAGCAGCUGGCAUUUCCAGCCAAUCUGCAGCCAAAAGAUAUGACAGUGAACAGGGAUUAUGAAAGUGAAUAGCAUAUGAAUUGGAUAAUCAAAGAUCUGGUGUGAACAGAAAAAUAAAGAUGAGCACUGUUAUGAAGCACGUCUGUAAUUUCCACAGAUUACUCUCUCAUCAACCUAAAAGUUAAUUCUACAAGAUAGACUAUAUAUGGCCAGCCAGAAUAUCUGGUUUCAGUAUUUCCACGGAUAUUACAAUAUGAAAAGUUGUCUUAAGGAAAUGAAAGAAUAUUGACUGAAUUGAGUGAGAAAAGAAGAUGCACGUUGCCUUGUUUCAACUGACAUAGGAUGCAGAGUGUAUUUAAGGGCUUAGAUAAGCAAAUUGCUGGCCGAAUUAGCAAAAGCACAGGUAAACACUUCAACAAAUAUGCUUAAAAUGAAAAAUGUAACUCGUGCAAGAAAAGAACAAUACCUGGGAAAUGCCGAGGAAAAAACAGCCGCAGCACAACAGCAAUGAAGGCAAUCCACUUUCCUACUUCUCCCCUGAACAAGACAGGAAAUAAAAAAGUUACUUAGGGAGGAAAUUCGGACAGAAGAAAUGGUUUUGUAGAAUUUCAUAGCCACCUGAAUUCGUUGAACAGUACUGAAGGGAGACUAAAGAAUAUGUAUGGGAUCAACAACCCCGUGAGAAUCUUCGUUCUCCAAUUUGUUCGAUCAAGGACCAACAAAUAACUGCACCAACAAAAACCGAAAGGCCACUUCCGUUAGCUUCCGAAAUUGCCAUAUCAGUUUCAAGUACAAAACUGGUGCUCACUGUAUCUACUCUCAUUUCCUACUUCAAUUUUGGGUUAUGACCCAAAUUCCUAUCUAUCGAAAACUCAGCGUGCUGCUUCUGCCAGGUGGAAGGGCUGAAGUUAUGAUGCCCUGGUAGACACAAGGAAGUUCUCCCAUAUUCAUAUACACGAAAUUUCAUGUGGGAUUUAAUACCUCUAUCGAAUUCACAAAUGGUCUUGCAAAGAUUAAGCGAAAAAUGCAGCAAGCUCAGCAUUGAGGACAGCUGAAACCAAUUAACAGAAGAAAAGAAACAAAGAAAAAAAAAGUCCAAUAUCCACUUGUGCAGAGCAAUUCAAAAAGCUCAGAGAAUAAACCAAUCCUCAGGAUAACAUCCGACACGCUUCAACUUCAGAAAUCAGCCUGGCGACUUUGACACCGAAUGACUAAACUCAAAAUGAUAAUUAACCGAAAGAGGGCAUAAACAGAGCACAAUUUAGUAUCCCAAGGCCCGCACACCGACCUCAUCGGUUGCAAAAGAACAACUGAAAAAGGGUCAUCAUGCACCGCACGCAACAAGAACAAAUCACAGGUAUCGAGCAAGAACAUGCCAAAUUAACAUAAAAACUCCACAGCAUCACGAACACUUCCGAUCAUCGACGAGAAACAGAGAGCACAACGAGAGA
rnacentral:lncRNA from 1 species